rnacentral:rRNA from 1 species
AUUGAACGCUGGCGGCAGGCCUAACACAUGCAAGUCGAACGAGUGGCGGACGGGUGAGUAAUGUCUGGGAAACUGCCCGAUGGAGGGGGAUAACUACUGGAAACGGUAGCUAAUACCGCAUACCAUCGGAUGUGCCCAUAUGGGAUUAGCUAGUAGGUGGGGUAAAGGCUCACCAAGGCAACGAUCCCUAGCUGGUCUGAGAGGAUGACCAGCCACACUGGAACUGAGACACGUGCCAGACUCCUACGGGAGGCAGCAGUGGGGAAUAUUGCACAAUGGGCGCAACCCUGAUGCAGCCAUGCCGCGUGUAUGAAGAAGGCCUUCGGGUUGUAAAGUACUUUCAGCGGAGAGGCGUUACCCGCAGAAGAAGCACCGGCUAACUCCGUGCCAGCCGCCGCGGUAAUAC